ACGGAUAUAUUUUUCGAUUUGGGCUUUUUUCAAUUCCCUACAAAACGAACUUUGUUUCACAAAAUUAACGCCACCACACCAACACUCGGGUCUCAAUUAUCGCGGGUUGUAAUCGUGCUGUAUAAACUAUUAUUCGCUCAAAACACUACAGUGCUGCCAUUAAUCCGCAGACGGGAAACCGAAAUUAAUCGUUUAAUUAAAACGUCC